CGGUCUGUAGUUUAAUUGGCAAAACAUAG
rnacentral:tRNA from 1 species